rnacentral:rRNA from 1 species
UACGUAGGGUGCAAGCGUUGUCCGGAAUUAUUGGGCGUAAAGAGCUCGUAGGCGGUUUGUCGCGUCUGCUGUGAAAACUCGGGGCUUAACUCCGGGCCUGCAGUGGGUACGGGCAGACUAGAGUGCGGUAGGGGAGACUGGAAUUCCUGGUGUAGCGGUGAAAUGCGCAGAUAUCAGGAGGAACACCGGUGGCGAAGGCGGCGACCUGGUCCGUGACUGACGCUGAGGCGCGAAAGCGUGGGGAGCAAACAGG